UGGGGAAUAUUGGACAAUGGGCGCAAGCCUGAUCCAGCCAUGCCGCGUGGGUGAAGAAGGCCUUCGGGUUGUAAAGCCCUUUUGUCCGGAAAGAAAAGCUGCCGGUUAAUACCCGGCGGUCAUGACGGUACCGGAAGAAUAAGCACCGGCUAACUUCGUGCCAGCAGCCGCGGUAAUACGAAGGGUGCAAGCGUUACUCGGAAUUACUGGGCGUAAAGCGUGCGUAGGUGGUUCGUUAAGUCUGUCGUGAAAUCCCCGGGCUCAACCUGGGAAUGGCGAUGGAUACUGGCGGGCUAGAGUGCGGUAGAGGAGAGUGGAAUUCCCGGUGUAGCAGUGAAAUGCGUAGAGAUCGGGAGGAACAUCAGUUGCGAAGGCGGCUCUCUGGACCAGCACUGACACUGAGGCACGAAAGCGUGGGGAGCAAACAGGAUUAGAUACCCUGGUAGUCCACGCCCUAAACGAUGCGAACUGGACGUUGGAUGCAACUAGGCAUUCAGUGUCGAAGCUAACGCGUUAAGUUCGCCGCCUGGGGAGUACGGUCGCAAGACUG
rnacentral:rRNA from 1 species